rnacentral:SRP_RNA from 1 species
GGUUAGGUCCUGCGCAAGAGAGCGUCGCGAACCCCGUCAGGUCCGGAAGGAAGCAGCGGUACCGACUGUCUCUCUGUGCCGCAGGGUGCCCUAGCCGCC